AUUUGGGAUAAACUGUUCAAAUAAACUCAUUUGGGGUCUUGUCAGCGAUCAUCCACACACUGUUUGGGUGGUAGAAUUCUUUGGUUUGCUUUAAUCUGUUCUCCACUACCUGCUUUCCCUUGCUUGACUGUAGUAUUUUUUAAGUCCUGUGCACAAAGAUGGAACGCCCCACCAUCUGGCUUAUUCUCAUUAUUGUUCCUCAGGGUUGGCUCAUGUUAAACACUUUAACCAAGAAAAAAGGUUGUGUCUUACAUGCAGUAAAGACCAAAAAGAUAUUCAGGACUUUUAACCAAGCUAUUUGUUCAGAGCAAAAGUUAUUGUGACAGUAAUGUUUAAUUUGGGGGUAGGAAAAUGUAAACUUUUGCCAUAAUACAGAUAAUAUGUAAAAAGGAGGAGAUGAUUUUGUGAGUGUUUAAAAUUCGUUAUUUAAUCAUUUGUUUGAAAGCCAAAGAGAGAGAUCUUCCAUCCACUGAUUUAGUCCUCAGUGGUGACAGUAGAGCGGUUGGAGACAAGAACUCCAC